AUGGACCCUAUGGACCUUCAAGCUGAGGAGUGCCACAACAUCGAGCUUUGGUACAACACCACACAUAACAAAUUUGCAUCUUAUGCAUGGAUUAACUCACAUUAUGAUUGCCUUAUUGCAUCUUGUAUUACCAUGUCAUCCAUGAUAUAUGAGCUUGUGCACUUUCUUAGCAAAUUUGUUGUGAUCUUUCUUGAUGACAUAUUCAUACAUCAUGAUCAUAUUGCCUACCAUCAAUUGCAUGAUAACUUAUUCAUAUUGAGCAUCCAUUGCCAUAUUCAUGCUAUUGAUAAACCGUCUCCCUAUGACAUCAUUUUACACCGUGGUUGCAUUGAUCAUAUUCACAACACAUUUGUGUGCACAAUGAAUUAUUUUGCUCCCAUGAACGCUUUGCAUAUCAUUCUAUAUCAUCUUGAUAAGCUGCAUGCACUUUGUCAUGAACAAUCUUGCCGCACAGACUCAUUCUUACAUGAUGGACACUUUGUGUGCGCUAACCACUGUAUUUUCGAGUGUCAUUUGUGUUUGCUCUUUUUGCAUGUAUACCACUCCGGCGACACCUUGGAGUACUUGGAUUGCGCAAUGUCUUCAACUCCGUCCAACUACAAGUCCGUCCACAACAGCCGUUUCCAUGGUGACGAGGAUCAUGAUCCGAGGUCGGAUCUUUCCCAGGGAGGGGGAGAUGAUGCGGAGCAUCCCACGAUCAUCCCCAUGUACACUUCGACUACUCCCCAAGCCCCAAGUGGACAUACGACGAGACCUCGACCAUACGCCAUUGGACACAAGGUGAACUCACUCCUCUUUGAACCAUCACUUUCCACAUAUGAGACAUGGUUACUACCUCAUGCAUGGACCUUGUGUAUACUCAGUCUCAUACGAGAUGACCAUGGAGAUUCAAAGGAUCAAGGCCAAGCAUGGAAGAGAAGACGGAAGAAAGGAGAAGAAGACGGAGCGGCUGCUGAAGUCAGCCCGGACGUACGACCCCCGUCCGGAUCAUCCGGACUCAGCCGGAUCAUCCGGAUGCCCCCCGGAUCAUCCGGGUAA
rnacentral:rRNA from 1 species